CACUACAGAAACAUCAUCUUGUAGCCCAAGGCUGGUUACUCACUGAAGCUAAGCAGGGCUGAGCCUGGUCAGUACCUGGAUGGGAGACCUCAUGGGAAAACUAGGUUGCUGUUGAAA
ensembl:rRNA 5S_rRNA 5S ribosomal RNA